CACUUUAUCCGUUACAAGAACAUGGGAGAUGGAUCUCCCAAGAGUGGACUUUAAAGUUUUACAUAGUAGGAUUCGGUGGUUUCUCCUGCAUUCCGGAUCUUGGUGGAAUUAUAAAUCGUCAAACAGUGUCCGUAAACAAAGUCUGUUUGAAUGACAUAUUCGUUUGCUGGCAAAAGUGAGCGCACGCUCGUUGCGAAGAAUCGGCGUAAGAUUGACGGUUUCGUACACAGCACACACUACAGUACAGGCGCUUAUGUGGCAAGGAAUGAUAUAGUAGAUCAGUAGCUCGUGACCAAAGAGCCUCCACCACCACGAUCUAUCUGAACAAUGCGUGACGAACAUCAGAAAAUCGUACGACAUUCUAGCCGUAAAUUCAGCAAACAAUACUACCAAGAGGACUCUCCCGAACUUCUUCUAAUUUCCAUCAACUUCAGAAAGUCAUUUGGGCAUUUGCAUCUCGCAAUCUACCAGCAAGGAAAUUGUAUGAAACGACAGAAGUAACAGCUGUAUACGUAUACGCAAACAAUAACACAAGAUGAUGGCAAUCACUACGAGGGCUGUAAACAAUAAAACCAGUGAUGUAUUGCUGUUCUCCUCCCGAUGGUGGAAUGUUGAGGUGAUGAGCAAUGCACGUCUAGCGCCACUUAACACUAAUGGAGACGCCACCAAUGCUCCGUGCGCUCUGCUGACAGCCGAUGUCAAAAGCUGGCCAGGUGUAAAGAGGGUACGAAUCAUCACCAUCAUCAUGCGAGGGUGAUCUACUGGCUAUGAACGCGCAGCUCAGCCGAUGUGGUGGUGGACAAGAACUGCAAUCUAACUGCAACUUGGGACGUACCUUGGGCACACCACCGAAGGCACAACCGUUGCAUGCAGCAAGGUGGUACGGAUUCGCACGUAACCUCCAUUACAACGGUGCUUAACCGGGUGCUCCCGGCCAGUACGCGCGGUUCUAUUAACGAUGAAGAUGAAUAGUUUUUGACUGGUUGUGCUGACACGCAAAAUCACAUCACACCAAUAGGCGCACCGUACGAUCAACGCGCAAACUAGUUGACACAAUUGAUGGCAGCACGUGAUGCAUACCCGAUGGCCAGAUCCAGCGCGCACUGGGAGGGGCAGUGGAUGAGUCAAGUUUGGUGAUACCGGUCUACAGCGUACCGUCAUUUGCAUACAAACUGUGGCUGGUCGAAUGGAAUGCGUCUUGCGAUGACAAUCAACGAUCCAUUCGUGUGCGAAACCUGGCGCUGCUGCUGCAGUACGGAGCUAGCGGUAUCUUAUGGGUUAAUGAGUAUGCGUCAGAAUGCACAGUUGUGGAAGGUGGGUGCUGUUAUUCCAGAUGGCAAAACAAUCGGUUCAAAGAAUAGGUAGCGUACGGAGAUGUGAUCAUUAUCUUGCACUGUGAUAAAUGCCAUUGUUCGAUAUAACACCUGGUGCUUGCAAACAGCUAACCUUCUAAUGUAACGAGCGAUAAAGUGCAGUUACGAAUGCUUUUUUCAGUGUUGAAUAUCUUCUUGUUAAGGUAAACAUUUCCGUUCAGAGUUUGGCGAAAUAAUAUUGCUUUAUGUUGUUAGGGAUUUAUUCCAAUUAUGCAACCAUUGAGAUUUAGAGAUAAAUACUACGAAUUUUGGGCGCGCGCCCGUUCUUGUUUGUUGUAGGCCUAGAAUUUUAGUGUGAUUUAUUUGUACAUCUCAUCUCUGAUUGUUGAUAGAUGAAGAUCUUCUUCGAUAGUUUAACCUUUAGCAGAGGAAUAUAGAUAGCGAUCACGUGUAGCAGUAGAGACUUGCGGCUGUGAUCAGGUGUAGAAGAUGUAUCAGCAACAAAUCAGAUGACAUUUCAGAAACAAAAUGUAUCUUUUUUAUUCAUUUGUUUAGUAAAUUGGUCUCCCCUCUGUACUGACCUUGAAUUAGAGGAUAAUGAAAGAGGUUAAGGACAAUGUAACGAGAGAUAUAGCAAUAAGCGAAUGGAGAGACUGAGCGUCAGUAACUACUGUAUGUAAGCCAGCGAAAAAUACGGUUUGAGUCUGGGGCUUUCUUGCUUCCAGUGAAGGAAGCCCCAAUCGAGUGGGAUUUUGGAGGCAUAGAAUUGCAUUGCUGUGUCUUUUGGGGAAAUAGUUUUGAAGCUAGAAGAUAUUUCAGAAGCUAAGACGAACGGGUUUUUUUUAAAUUUUAAGAUUAUUCACUGUUUUGAAAAUUGUCUCAACAAUGAACGGUCGGAAACAUCGUGCAAAAGAAGAUUUGUUAUUUUUUAACAUAUUUUUGUUUAAUUUUUAUAACUAAACAUUUAAUUUAAGAAACAUUGUUUAGGAUAAAAAAUCAUCCGCUCUUUAGUGGUGUU